rnacentral:rRNA from 1 species
UGAGUAGCGCGUGGGAACCUGCCCAGUAGUGGGGGAUAACCGAGGGAAACUUCGGCUAAUACCGCAUGCGCCCGGUGAGUGAUCAUCGGGGGAAGAUUUAUCGCUAUUGGAGGGGCCCGCGUCGGAUUAGCUUGUUGGUGGGGUAACGGCCUACCAAGGCAGUGAUCCGUAGCUGGUCUGAGAGGAUGAUCAGCCACACUGGGACUGAGACACGGCCCAG